rnacentral:lncRNA from 1 species
GGCUAGAUAAUAAAAAUGAAGUAAUUACUAGUACUCGUGGUUCCUUUAGGUUCGACAAUCUGGUCUUGCUAAACUAUACUACUGUUCGAUAGGUACACUUGCCUUCAUCGUGAUAAUAGUUAGUUCCAAGAGCGAUUCAUUUAUAAAUUUUUAAAAACUGUUGCAUUAUCACGCAAACAUCAGCCACACAUUGGCCAACACUGUCUUCAUCGACUGGAAGUU